UGGGGAAUAUUGCACAAUGGACGGAAGUCUGAUGCAGCAACGCCGCGUGCGGGAUGACGGCCUUCGGGUUGUAAACCGCCUUUUCUCAUGACGAAGUUUUUUGACGGUAGUGGGGGAAGAAGCACCGGCUAACUACGUGCCAGCAGCCGCGGUGAUACGUAGGGUGCGAGCGUUGUCCGGAAUUAUUGGGCGUAAAGAGCUUGUAGGCGGUUUGUCGCGUCGAUAGUGCAAACUCAGUGCUUAACGCUGAGCCUGCUGUUGAUACGGGCAGACGAGAGGAAGGUAGGGGAGAAUGGAAUUCCCGGUGGAGCGGUGGAAUGCGCAGAUAUCGGGAGGAACACCGGUGGCGAAGGCGGUUCUCUGGGCCUUUCCUGACGCUGAGAAGCGAAAGCGUGGGGAGCGAACAGG
rnacentral:rRNA from 1 species